GGACUGACAAAGGCCUCUCUCACUUCUGCGUCCUCUCAUGCCUAAGGCAGGGAAGACGCCAAGAGGAGCCCUGAGGUGUGCUGUUGAAGCAAGAAGCCUCCCUGUAUAUUUGGCCCAUGGAAAUCAAUUUCUUUGCUCGACAGUACGAGGUUUUCCUUUCUCCAAGUGUGAUGGGAAGAGGCAUCAGAGCUUCAGAGAAGGCAAGGGUAGAUUAAGGAGCCAAAACCAGAGGAUGGCAAGCAUGGCUGACACGUGUUCCCCAUGAAUUUAGGUGCUAGGGUGGCCGCCUCGUUUUGGAUGUUGCAACAACUGGGUUUUCCUCUCUGGCUCUGUUAUAUAGACACUGGACUGCACGGGAGAAACAGGACUGAUGGAUUACAAUCUCAGGAGACUGCCUCCUCUCAAAGCUGCUCUUCCCUGAGUUGACAGCUAUUGAAGUGAAAACUGCUUUGAAAGGCAAAACUCCUGAGGUCAGAUCUGUCUCUCUGACUGAAGGGAAGGAAAUGAACGGAACCCCUUGAAGCAAAGUUGUGUAUUUCCAUUCAGAAGAGGAACAUUCUACCUCUCUCUUGUGAGAGCGGUGGAUUCCUGGUCCCUGAAAGCAUUGGAACAUGGGCCAAGUAACUACUUGGUGAGCCAUUGUAAAGGAAAUUCAAGGGGUACCAUGAGGAUUGGGUUUCACAAGCCUCAAAGUCCUUCCCAAGUCUGAGCAUCUCAGCGGCUGCUGGACUAUCUUUCCGGGUUUUGCCUUCACCUUGGUCACCAGGAUUGCGACACGCUUUUGGGCACUAUUCACAACAGCCAAGACAUGGAAACAAUCCAAGUACCCAUUGUCUGACGAUUGGAUAAAGAAGAUAUAGUAUAUAUAUACAAUGGAAUACUACUCAGCCAUAAAAAAGACAAAAUCAUCCCAUUUGCAACAACAUGGAUGGAUCUGGAGGGACUUAUGCUAAGCAAAAUCAGCCAAACAAGAAAGACAAACACCAUAUGAUUUCACUCUUGUGUGGCA
rnacentral:lncRNA from 1 species